rnacentral:tRNA from 1 species
GCCGAAGUGGCGGAAUGGCAGACGCGCCUCUCUCAAAAAGAGGUGAGGGUUCCCUCAUGUGGGUUCGACUCCCACCUUCGGCACCA